CGGCGGACGGGUGAGUAACGCGUGGGUAACCUGCCUUAUACAGGGGGAUAACAGUCAGAAAUGGCUGCUAAUACCGCAUAAGCGCACAGAGCUGCAUGGCUCAGUGUGAAAAACUCCGGUGGUAUAAGAUGGACCCGCGUUGGAUUAGCUAGUUGGUGAGGUAACGGCCCACCAAGGCAACGAUCGGUAGCCGGACUGAGAGGUUGAACGGCCACAUUGGGACUGAGACACGGCCCAGACUCCUACGGGAGGCAGCAUG
rnacentral:rRNA from 1 species